AUGCCCAUGGGUGGCCAGUGCUAUGAGCCUGGGAUUUUCUACCCCACCACCCCUCGACACAUCAUCAGGUUAGGAAUCAGCAGAAGACGAGAUCUGCUUCUUAGACCAGACUGGCUUGUGACUGGAGGACUGCUCUUAGGAGCUGUGGUCAUCCUCUGUGUAUGCAUUAUAGUGCUGGUAUGUUUACUAACUCCUGCAUCGACUUUGCAUCAUAAAAGCAUCCUUUUUAUCAGUGCUUAUUACUUGUGUGUGCAGAUCUUGUUUCGUGAAUAUGGGUGGCCGGAAAAAGAGUCAAUCAGUGUUCAGUAUCGAAUGUUGCAGCUUCUAUACCCAAUGGAUGACUACUCAUCAAAGGGAUCGAGGGUGAUUUCAUUCAGGAAAACUCACCGAAAACAGCCCGCUAGCAUGACACAUGACUCUAUUCAGCCAGCAUGCACAGGAGCCCUGGAGGAGUUCUGGGAUUAUGAACACCAGGUGGAUCUGGAGGCUUUUAACAGCAACACUUUUUACUGCCUCCUACUCAAGCAGAGCCUUUCUGUCACGUCACGUCUGGGGCAGCUCACCACUGAGGUCUGCAGCAAAUAAAACACCAUUCUUGAAGGGACUCUUGCAUUCUUACUUGUUUUUAUUUUCACUUUUACUAAAGACAAUCCACCGAGAAAGAGUUAGCUCACCUUAAAAGCCAAACAUACAAAAGUUAGGAACCCACAAAAAGAGAAUACAACUAAAAAAGAUGACUUCAGAAGACAAUUUACAAGAAGAAUAAAAAUUUGACAAAAUUAUACCAGAAAUGUAAAGGCAAAUUUUUAUGUUGUUUAAAAAAUUUUAAUAGCUUCAAGUUUACAUUUAGUCAUUUAUUUUCUUAGAAUUGCACAAAUACUACUACUACUACUACUACUACUAUGAAUAAUAAUAAUAAUAAUAAUAAAAAUAAUAAUAAAAUCAGACAAAUAAAUUAAAGCUAUGAUUAUUUAUUUUUUUGCUUGUCAAAAAUCCAUACAAAUCUUACGCAAAACCAACAACAGGAACUUCUUCAGACAAAAUAUUGAUUUAGCUCCAAAAGAGAGAGAAAACACAUCUAUUUGCCUGAUCCAUUCAUUGAAUUUUUCCUUUCACUCAUUUCCAUUAAAUCAGCUUGAGGUCAGAGUCCAGAUGCUCGUUCAUUCCUCAGCUCCAAUCGUUAUCCACUCUCUAUCUUCUCAUUUCCUAGCUUCAUCCUGUACUUCAUAUGUAUUUCACUGUGAAGUCUAUUGAAACAUAUUAAAUAUCACAAGUAAUUAAAUUUAUCUUUUUUUGCUUUGCAAUCCUUUGUGCAGCAUGUUCUUACUGUUUCCACUGUAAUGUUACCAGGCGCUGUAUAGGAAGGAGUCAGAUUGUUACUACAGCCCUGAGGGCUGUCUAAGCGGAGAGAAGUAAGAGGAGAUGGUCUCCAACAAACAUGCAUGUCUCAGGGGUGUUGGUUGGAUGACAUGUCAACUUAUUAGCUUGCUCCUGAGAGGAUUUUGUUUUCUUUUUUACUUGUCCUGUCCCACAGCUGAGCAGACAGAUGAGAGCUGAAAGCCUCUUGUGUUGGACAUAUUUUACUGUUACAAUAGAGGUUAUGAAUCGUUUGACACACUAGGAACAUAUUUAAAUAAACUCCUUUUGUAAUUUAGGCUAAACUUUAUUCAUCUUACUCAUAUCUGUAACAGUCUUUUGUUAGACCGGAUGGAAAAGAAAAGAAGGGAUGAAGAGAGAGGGAUGCCAGAGAGGGGGAUUGAACCCUAAAGCAGCAUGAUGCUCCUGAGAGGAUUUUUGCCCUAACAUACAUUUGUGUGUAUCCAGGUGAAGGAGCUCUAUCGAGGAGUUCUUGGGAAACUGUCGCUUCUCCACCCAUGCAUGAUGGCAGAGGAGAGGGUGGAGGAGCACUGUGAGAGGAUGAAGAAAGAGGUGGAGAGAGAAUUGGUGCGAAGGAAGUCUUUGGGCUCACAGCUGAGGACUCUGCUCGACAGUCAAUUACAGGUUUAUUUUGUGAAGGAUGCAAUCCAAAACAGCACAAAGGCAUCAGAAGAAAAACACAUUUUAAAACACAAGAAAUAAAAAUAUCUCUAUGUCUUGAUUUUUACAAAUGUCGUCUUUGACCCUGACAUUGUCACUAUAAUAUGUAAGAAUCCAACAAAACCACACAAACGGAUUGCUUUGACUGAUUUUCUUCAGGUUCUGAUGAGGGAGCUGCAGGCCAAGAGAAGGGCGUAUUGUGUAUUCAUGUCUCAGCUCAGAGAGUGCAGCAGACUUCUAUCUAAGAUUCACAACACCCACUCACCCACCUGUGAGCUGCACCAGAAAAUGUGAGAAUAUGGCUGUUUAUUUUUUUUACUGACAAAAAAGCACAAAACUAUUUCAACAAUUGCCAUUGUUCCAUUUUUUUUUCUUAACUCAUAUUCAGUUUGGUCCAAAAGCUCUCAGCCCUCAUAGAAGAAAUGGGAGAGCUGGUGUCAGCAGAGUGUCACCGCCAGGGGGCGUGGGGCUUGUUGGCUGAAGGCACUGGAGCCAGGUUGCUGUGUCCUAACUCUGGAGGUGUCCUUACCAAAGAUGACCUCUUUGGUGAGUUGAAAGCAGCUGCAAGAGAAAGAAGAAAUGUUUGCACAUGAUCCUUGCACCACAGCACCAUCUACUGUUAAACAAGUAUUCUGCAAUGCCUAGG
ensembl:lncRNA